GCGUGUCUGGUAGAUGCCACGACGUUGUUCGCCUUGGGGACGUUUCCCACCCUCGGCUCAAGACUGUUGGCGCAGAGGCGCUUGAACCUUCCAUGCAUUAUCCGCUUCCCUAGCGGAACGCCAAGGCUGAGGCCACAUCAAGAGGCAUGUGCCUUGAGACAUUUCAAGGCUUCGAGGCUGCCUUCAGUUUGCCGACUGUUGGAGUGAACUCCUUCCUAUGCUGAGAAAGGCAGCAAGCAUCUACAGAGGCCUCCUGGAUAUCUGAUAAGCUGAAGAAGCUUUGAAGAACCCCCAUGAGUGUCUGUGUUACUGAAAAGCUGCAGAAGAUGGAGAACUUGCCUAUUAGGCUCUCCAACCAGCUUCUGUGAACCUAUCAGCCCUAAGACACUAAGCACUAGACCAACAUUAAGUUCUCAAGAACUAAGGCUGAGGAUGUAAUACAGUGGUAGAGGGCUUGUUUAACAAGUAUAAUGCUCUGUAUUUGAACCCCCUGGCACCAAAAAACAAAACCAAAAUCUAAGAAUUUAUAUACCAGGAAGGUAGAUUUUUGUAUUCUCUUCAGUAGAACCUUGACUUGAGGAGAAGUAAAAACACAAAGUAUUUCAAAUCUGUUACCUUUGAAAAUACAGUUAAUGAAAAUUGUCUGGGUAAACUCUGCCCCCAAAUAGCAGGUGUUAUUUAUUAAGCGGCACAAUGUUAUUCAUUAAGUGGUGCUGUUUACCGUACCAGAAAAGUUUCUUAAGGGAAGGGAGCAGAAGGAGGUGCUUAGGCCUAUGGGAAUGACCGUGCAGGAAGAAAAGGGCAGAGGGAUGAGUGAGACCUGCUUUUAUAGAUUCCCCUGCACAUGCGUAUACCGGCUUACAUAGCUAUGCCACACAUGCGCAUAGAUUAUGUGAUCACGCUGCAUGCAAAUUACAUGAUCAAGCAGUGCAUGGAUUACGUAGGACAUAAGGCCCUAGGAUGACUAAGCAUCUUACCAGCAAAUGCACGGUCAUGGGAGAGUGGCUAGGAAUUCUUACAGCAGGUUUAGCUAAAGUAGUGGUCAAUGACCAGAUUCCUGAGGUUUACAUCAUAUCUUGGCCAAGCAGGAGAGGGGUUUAUGGGUUGGAGAAAUGGUUCAGUGGUUAAGAGCACUUUCUACUUUUCCAGAGGACCUUGAGUCCAUAUCAGGUGGCUUACAACCACCUGUAAUUCCAGCUCUAGAGGAUCCAGCUUCUUUUUCUGACCUCCACAGCACUUUACUAGUGUAUACAAAUCCAGACACACACACACACACACACACACACACACAAAAAAAAAAAAAAAAAAACCUUUUUUUUUAAAUAGAGGGUUGUGCUAUUGCAGUUAUUUCCUGUUGUAUUUACAUUAAUCUUGUGCUGAAGUUCAAACUAUCCUGGGGAAGAUUUGAAAACAUGUUUCCUAACUUUACCAAACAUCCCCAGAGGGACUGGGUGUGAUGACACACACCAGUAACUCAAGAACUUGGAAGAUAGAGAAAUGAAGAGCAGGAGUUCAAGGACAUCCUCACCUACAAAUAAAGUUUAAGGCUAGCCUGAGCUAUAUGAAACUGUUUCAAAAAACUAAAAUUCCUUCUAAGUACUAGGAGCCAAUGACUGGUUGUUUUUCUAGAAUGCCCAGGGCAUUGAGUCUAACUGUUCUUGACUACUAAAAUUGAGACAUGAAUUUUACUGACUUUAUUUGUGACUUUUGUUAUAAUCAAAUCUGCUUCAAUAUGUUCAGUGAAAAAUGGCUAAAGAAACUCAAGCAAUGAUUUCACAGAACCUUGAAUUUUCUGCAGGAACUAUUGAGUAUAUCAAAUUCAUGUGAAAGAGUUUCAUUCCUCCAACUCAUGUACACCACUGUGGUGAUAUAUUGUGUACCCUAAUAAACUUGCCAGAGGAUCAGAGGACAGAUUCAGCCACUAGAUUAGACACAGAGCCAGGCAGUGGUGGCACACACCUUUAAUCCCAGCACUUGAGAUCUCAUGCCUUUACUUGGGAAGCACACAUGCCUUUAAUCCCAGAAAGUAAUAUGGCAGAGCAGAGGAAGGUAUAUAAAGCAUGAAGAAACAGGAACUGGCUCUUUAGACUAAGGAUUUCAUAGAGGUAAGAACUAGUGGCGGGCUGUUCUGCUUCUCUGAUCUUUCAGCUUUCACCCUGAUAUCUGGCUCUGGGUUUUUAAUUAUAAGACCAUCUAAGAUUCGAACAACACAAUCACCUCAUCUUUAUUAGUUACCCUUCUAUUGCUGUGAUAAAAUACUAUGACCAAGGCAAGGAAGAGAGGUUUUUCAGGCUUAUAGUUCCAGAGGAUAAGAGUCCAUCAUGGUGGGGAAGUGGUAAGCAUCAUGGCUGAAGUAGCAAGCUUAGAGCUCACACUUUAAACCAAAAACAGGAAGCAGAGAGUGAACUGACAAUGGUGUGUGGCUUUUAAACCUCAAAAGUUAUCCCCAGUGACAUGUUUCUUCCAGCAAGGUCAUAUCUCCUAAAGCUAUCCUAACAGCACCACCACCUGGGGACUGAUUAUUUAAACACCUGAGCCUUUAAGGAAUAUUCUCAGUCAAACCACUGCACCAUCUCAGAAGAAAACAGCCCAUCAGUCAUCGUCUCUCGUCCUACUACAUUGAGGAAUGGUCAAUAGAAGUAGGAUUUGUAAUUGGGCUCCAUAAACUUAACAAAACACAAAGACUGGUAUGGUGGCCGAUGCCUAAAAUCCCAGCACUUUAGAGGUAUAGGCAGGAGGAUCAAGAAGUCAGGAGGAUCAAGAAGUCAAAGAGGUCAUCUUCAGCUAAAUAACCAGUUCAAGGGCAGCCCGGGCUUCCGUGAAACACUAUCUCAAGAAAACUAUUAUAUAUAAAAAUGCUAUAUAUUAAAUUAUGUAUACAUAUUAAUAAAGCAGUUUUCACUACUAAGA